rnacentral:rRNA from 1 species
CAACAACGGAUCUCUUGGUUCUGGCAUCGAUGAAGAACGCAGCGAAAUGCGAUAAGUAAUGUGAAUUGCAGAAUUCAGUGAAUCAUCGAAUCUUUGAACGCACAUUGCGCCCUUUGGUAUUCCGAAGGGCAUGCCUGUUCGAGCGU